GUGCUAACUUUCACAAGACAUAUACUAAAAUUGAGACAAUACAGAGAAGAUUAGCAUGCCUCUGCUCAAGGAUGACACACAAACUAAUGAAGCGCUUUAUAUUUUU
ensembl:snRNA U6 U6 spliceosomal RNA